GUGUCAGCAGCCGCGGUAAUACGAAGGGGGCUAGCGUUGUUCGGAAUUACUGGGCGUAAAGCGCGUGUAGGCGGGUCUUUAAGUCAGGGGUGAAAUGCCAAGGCUCAACCUUGGAACUGCCUUUGAUACUGGAGACCUUGAGUCCGGGAGAGGUGAGUGGAAUUGCGAGUGUAGAGGUGAAAUUCGUAGAUAUUCGCAAGAACACCAGUGGCGAAGGCGGCUCACUGGCCCGGAACUGACGCUGAGACGCGAAAGCGUGGGGAGCAAACAGGAUUAGAUACCCUUGUAGUCC
rnacentral:rRNA from 1 species